CUUACGGGCGGCUGCAGUGGGGAAUAUUGGACAAUGGGGGGAACCCUGAUCCAGCCAUGCCGCGUGUGUGAAGAAGGCCCUCGGGUUGUAAAGCACUUUCAGUGAGGAAGAACGCCUGGUGGUUAAUACCCAUCAGGAAAGACAUCACUCACAGAAGAAGCACCGGCUAACUCCGUGCCAGCAGCCGCGGUAAUACGGAGGGUGCGAGCGUUAAUCGGAAUUACUUGGCGUAAAGCGCGCGUAGGUGGCUUGAUAAGCCGGUUGUGAAAGCCCCGGGCUCAACCUGGGAACGGCAUCCGGAACUGUCAAGCUAGAGUGCAGGAGAGGAAGGUAGAAUUCCCGGUGUAGCGGUGAAAUGCGUAGAGAUCGGGAGGAAUACCAGUGGCGAAGGCGGCCUUCUGGACUGACACUGACACUGGGGUGCGAAAGCGUGGGUAGCAAACAGGAUUAGAUACCCUAGUAGUC
rnacentral:rRNA from 1 species